AUGCCUUUAUUUUCAUGGGUUGGUAAAACUGUGGGUCCUCAAGUCGUUGACCUCUGUGUGGACAUUCUGAGCAUCUUGCUGUGCCAAGGGAGUCAGAUAAAGCUGGAUCAUCAACAGAAGCGGGAAGAGCAUCAGGCUGAGUCGGAUCUCUUUAUGGAUGAGGAGUCUGAUGACAGAAGUGUCUUCAAAUGACAAGGUACCAAAUUCCUUGGUACAGCGGCACCUGUACCAAGGAAUUGGUUGAUUCUCUAGGAAAUAGUUUGGCUGAACAGAGAGAUGCUGUUAAGGUCUUGGAGGAGAAUUUAGGAACAUAGAGCCUGUGGCCCAGCAGUUGCAAAACUACUGUCUGGAGAUGUGACUCAGCUGCAUCACCACGGUCUCACCCCUGAGCUGGAACACAGUCAGGAGAGGUCCUGAAAGAGAUUACCUUUGCAGAAAAAAAUGUGUUCCCUCAGCCCUGUGUAAAGCCUUGUUGUGAAAAUUAUGUACUUGAGGUAUGAAUUUCCCCCCAUCUUUCAUCUCUUCUGUAAAUUUGUGGAGAUUAGAAUGUGUUGAUGAACCCUAGAAUAUUCCAUUUUCCUCUGGAGAUGAGCUUAGACAUAUUUAGAAUGUUCGGUAUAACAGCAUAAAUGUUGGGAGAAUGGUAUUUAUGUGUUUAUAAUUGAUUAACAUUUUUUAUCCUCUGGCCAGCUAGUAGACAAUUUCAUGUUCAAUAAUUGUAAUUGACAAGCUGUGGAAAAUAGGCAGAUGAAUCAAUUUUUUGGUUUGUUUGUUUUUUUACCCUGCAUUGUGAUUAUCUAUUCAUUGAUACUGUUAUCUCUCUUUCCCCCAUUUUCGUCUGCCCCCCAAACCCAGCUCCUUCCUGUCCUGUCCCUGCUCCGUUCCAUUCCCCCUCUCGGUGGUGUGAGAUGAGAUUUGAGCCCUUUCUGACAUCCACACGUGCUCUUCGUGUUGUCAGAUCCUGUGUGGAAGCCAGCACCUCUCCCUGCCUAUUUUGCAGUUCACUGCAGAUCCCAGAAAUCCCACAGGAGGGAAGAUCUUGUGCUUCCACCACCAAGCGAGAGAAGAGAUGGUCACAUCCUAGGAGCCUGAUUUUGGAAUGUUUUAUGGAAAUGGCCCAGUGGCUUUUACUUCUGGGGUUCCUGGAGUCUGUUCAUGGCAGACUGUACCUGCUGAAAGGCUGAGGUGGGACCAGGAUCUGUAAAAUCCCUGACUCUCCAUGUCUUCCUGAGGCUGAAGCUGUGUUUGCUGUCAGUGGUGACAUGGUGGAAGAUGCUAAAGACUGAAAAUUUUGGGUUUUUUCCCGGAACCCAAGACUCUGUAGCUGUGCCCUGUCUGUCUCUUAAAAGAGUUUAUUGGUUUACAAAGGUUUUUACAUUCUGCAAUUAUUUACCUAUAACUCUAUUAAAAAGAAUCAUACUGUAUCAAUGUGGUGUUAAUUACUUUGUGUUGGUUAAUUAAAGCAAAUUGUUGAUAAGGGGUUUGAGCAUCCCUUAGUUGGAGCUGGCAGCUCUUAUUUAAUUUCUCUUCAUUCCUUUAAUUUCUUUCAAUUACUUCUUAAGCAAUUACUGCAAUGGGA
ensembl:lncRNA